rnacentral:rRNA from 1 species
CCGGGCUGAGAGGUUGAACGGCCACAUUGGGACUGAGACACGGCCCAAACUCCUACGGGAGGCAGCAGUAGGGAAUUUUCGGCAAUGGAGGAAACUCUGACCGAGCAACGCCGCGUGAACGAUGAAGUAUUUCGGUACGUAAAGUUCUUUUAUUAGGGAAGAAUAAAUGAUGGAAAAAUCAUUCUGACGGUACCUAAUGAAUAAGCCCCGGCUAACUAUGUGCCAGCAGCCGCGGUAAUACAUAGGGGGCAAGCGUUAUCCGGAAUUAUUGGGCGUAAAGGGUGCGUAGGCGGUUAAAUAAGUUUAUGGUCUAAGUGCAAUGCUCAACAUUGUGAUGCUAUAAAAACUGUUUAGCUAGAGUAAGAUAGAGGCAAGUGGAAUUCCAUGUGUAGUGGUAAAAUGCGUAAAUAUAUGGAGGAACACCAGUAGCGAAGGCGGCUUGCUGGGUCUUUACUGACGCUGAGGCACGAAAGCGUGGGGAGCAAACAGGAUUAGAUACCCUGGUAGUCCACGCCGUAAACGAUGAGUACUAAACGUUGGGUAAAACCAGUGUUGAAGUUAACACAUUAAGUACUCCGCCUGAGUAGUACGUACGCAAGUAUGAAACUUAAAGGAAUUGACGGGACUCCGCACAAGCGGUGGAUCAUGUUGUUUAAUUCGAAGGUACCCGAAAAACCUCACCAGGUCUUGACAUGCUUCUGCAAAGCUGUAGAAACACAGUGGAGGUUAUCAGUUGCACAGGUGGUGCAUGGUUGUCGUCAGCUCGUGUCGUGAGAUGUUGGGUUAAGUCCCGCAACGAGCGCAACCCUUAUUGUUAGUUACCAGCACGUAAUGGUGGGGACUUUAGCAAGACUGCCAGUGAUAAAUUGGAGGAAGGUGGGGACGACGUCAAAUCAUCAUGCCCCUUAUGACCUGGGCUACAAACGUGAUACAAUGGCUGUUACAAAGGGUAG